rnacentral:rRNA from 1 species
UUGAUCCCUGGCUCAGAACGAACGCUGGCGGCAGGCUUAACACAUGCAAGUCGAGCGCCUCGCAAGAGGAGCGGCAGACGGGUGAGUAACACGUGGGAACAUACCCUUUACUACGGAACAACUCCGGGAAACUGGAGCUAAUACCGUAUGUGCCCUUCGGGGGAAAGAUUUAUCGGUAAAGGAUUGGCCCGCGUUGGAUUAGCUAGUUGGUGGGGUAAAGGCCUACCAAGGCGACGAUCCAUAGCUGGUCUGAGAGGAUGAUCAGCCACAUUGGGACUGAGACACGGCCCAAACUCCUACGGGAGGCAGCAGUGGGGAAUAUUGGACAAUGGGCGCAAGCCUGAUCCAGCCAUGCCGCGUGUGUGAUGAAGGCCUUAGGGUUGUAAAGCACUUCACCGAUGAAGAUAAUGACGGUAGUCGAGAAGAAGCCCGG